rnacentral:lncRNA from 1 species
AGGAGGGAUAAGGGGAGAGAUUUUAGGGAUUUGAAAGGGGAAUAGGGUUAGCCGAUUUGAGGGGAUUAGAGAGGGGAUUUCGGCAGAGGGGUUUUAGUUAGGGAUUUUCGGCACUUGGGUACUUGUGUACCGUUUUCUUCCUUUUGUUUGGUCUUUUCUCUCUUUUUCCUUUUGCAGCCAAAUUUAUCAUCUCUCAUCUCAUCUUUUAUUCCUUUUCCUUCUUCUAGACCAGCCGACUACUCCCCUCCAUUCAUCUAUUGUUUCUUUCCCUUACCUCCACUUUUGCCGAAAUACCGUAAAAGCCGAAAACGGUGAAGCUAGGUGGUG